rnacentral:rRNA from 1 species
UACGUAGGGUUCAAGCGUUAUCCGGAAUCACUGGGCGUAAAGCGUGCGUAGGUGGUUUGUUAAGUGUAUUGCGAAAUCCUGUGGCUCAACCACAUGGACUGUAAUGCAUACUGGCAAACUAGAGGACAUGAGAGGCAAGUGGAAUUACUGGUGUAGCAGUGAAAUGCGUAGAGAUCAGUAGGAACACCAAUGGCGAAGGCAGCUUGCUGGCAUGUAUCUGACGCUAAGGCACGAAAGCGUGGGGAGCGAACAGGAUUAGAU